rnacentral:rRNA from 1 species
GACGAACGCUGGCGGCGUGCCUAACACAUGCAAGUCGAACGGAGUCGGCCCCGCAAGGGACUGACUUAGUGGCGAACGGGUGAGUAACGCGUGAGCAACCUGCCUUUCAGUGGGGGACAACAGUUGGAAACGACUGCUAAUACCGCAUAAUGCAUUUUGACCGCAUGAUCGAGAUGCCAAAGAUUUAUUGCUGAAAGAUGGGCUCGCGUCUGAUUAGAUAGUUGGUGAGGUAACGGCCCACCAAGUCGACGAUCAGUAGCCGGACUGAGAGGUUGAACGGCCACAUUGGGACUGAGACACGGCCCAGACGCCUACGGGAGGCAGCAGUGGGGAAUAUUGGGCAAUGGGGGAGUCCCUGACCCAGCAACGCCGCGUGGAGGAAGAAGGCUUUCGGGUUGUAAACUUCUUUUACCAGGGACGAAGAAAGUGACGGUACCUGGAGAAAAAGCCACGGCUAACUACGUG